rnacentral:misc_RNA from 1 species
UCGAUUGAACUUCGAUCGCUUUCAAUCGACGAAAAUGUUACCCAUAUUUACGUACUUAAUUGGAGAUAAAAACAAAAGAUUUCCCUUUAUUCUUUUUACGUGUAAUCGUGAAUUAUAAAAGUAAAAUAUAUGGGUCACUUGAUGCACUUUAAAUUUGAUAUAGGUUGAUGUACUAGAAACAUCUGAAGGCGAAGAUGACACCGAAGACGCAGAAGCCACAUUUAAUUUAGUUAGACAACUGCACAGUACAAC